UGCAGUCGAACGCUUCUUUUUCCACCGGAGCUUGCUCCACCGGAAAAAGAGGAGUGGCGAACGGGUGAGUAACACGUGGGUAACCUGCCCAUCAGAAGGGGAUAACACUUGGAAACAGGUGCUAAUACCGUAUAACAAUCAAAACCGCAUGGUUUUGAUUUGAAAGGCGCUUUCGGGUGUCGCUGAUGGAUGGACCCGCGGUGCAUUAGCUAGUUGGUGAGGUAACGGCUCACCAAGGCCACGAUGCAUAGCCGACCUGAGAGGGUGAUCGGCCACAUUGGGACUGAGACACGGCCCAAACUCCUACGGGAGGCAGCAGUAGGGAAUCUUCGGCAAUGGACGAAAGUCUGACCGAGCAACGCCGCGUGAGUGAAGAAGGUUUUCGGAUCGUAAAACUCUGUUGUUAGAGAAGAACAAGGAUGAGAGUAACUGUUCAUCCCUUGACGGUAUCUAACCAGAAAGCCACGGCUAACUACGUGCCAGCAGCCGCGGUAAUACGUAGGUGGCAAGCGUUGUCCGGAUUUAUUGGGCGUAAAGCGAGCGCAGGCGGUUUCUUAAGUCUGAUGUGAAAGCCCCCGGCUCAACCGGGGAGGGUCAUUGGAAACUGGGAGACUUGAGUGCAGAAGAGGAGAGUGGAAUUCCAUGUGUAGCGGUGAAAUGCGUAGAUAUAUGGAGGAACACCAGUGGCGAAGGCGGCUCUCUGGUCUGUAACUGACGCUGAGGCUCGAAAGCGUGGGGAGCAAACAGGAUUAGAUACCCUGGUAGUCCACGCCGUAAACGAUGAGUGCUAAGUGUUGGAGGGUUUCCGCCCUUCAGUGCUGCAGCUAACGCAUUAAGCACUCCGCCUGGGGAGUACGA
rnacentral:rRNA from 1 species